GUUUGGACAUACUUUGCCUAAAUGAAAGGUAUUUUCAAGAAUUAGCUUUUGCAUUGGGGUUGCUUUCCAUCGCUGCUUCAUAUUGGAUUGCUUAUGGCCUUCAGAUGUUUUCAAAACAUCAAAACUUGGAUUUCCAAUUCUCGUACCUUCAAGUAAAAGUUGAAAGAGAUAAAUGAUCAUGCUUUUAAAGAUCUUUUUUUCUUUUUUUUUGAUAUUAAGAACAGCUAUUAGACAGAUAGAUAAAAGAUAGAACA
rnacentral:lncRNA from 1 species